rnacentral:rRNA from 1 species
GCAGUCGAGCGGAACGGCAGUAUUGAAGCUUCGGUGGAGAUACUGGACUUCGAGCGGCGGACGGGUGAGUAACGGCUGGGAACCUGCCCUGACGAGGGGGAUAACCGUUGGAAACGACGGCUAAUACCGCAUAAUGUCUACGGACCAAAGGUGGCCACUACAUGUAAGCUAUCGCGUUGGGAUGGGCCCAGUUAGGAUUAGCUAGUUGGUAAGGUAAUGGCUUACCAAGGCAACGAUCCUUAGCUGGUUUGAGAGGAUGAUCAGCCACACUGGGACUGAGACACGGCCCAGACUCCUACGGGAGGCAGCAGUGGGGAAUAUUGCACAAUGGGGGAGACCCUGAUGCAGCCAUGCCGCGUGUGUGAAGAAGGCCUUCGGGUUGUAAAGCACUUUCAGCAAUGAGGAAGGUCGUGUACUUAAUACGUGCACGGCUUGACGUUAGCUGCAUUGAAGCACCGGCUAACUCCGUGCCAGCAGCC